rnacentral:lncRNA from 1 species
GAGUAGUGCGAGCCGCCGCCGUGGGGAGCCCGCCCGCCGAAGUCUGGCGGCACUGUGGGGGCGGCCUCAGUGCCUCAGUUUCCCCCUGGGGCGGCUGUACGGGAGGCGUGUCGCAGCGAGGUGACCUCCCCCAGGUCCCUGUGCAGAACCUUGAGGUAAGUUCCCAAAAAGUGUAGAGAAUGGCCAUGGGGAAGAAGGAACUGUCACAAAGCUGGAAAGGAGUCUUGGUGCUGGGCUGCCGCCUCUCCCAAGCCCAUCUUGGAUUCUGGAACUUCCUGCUGCCUUGCACACUGACUGGGCUACCUCAGCCCAGCUCUGACUGUCCCCAACUGCCGGCCGGCCCCAGCUUUCCAGAUCUCAGGCUAGAAUGUGGCAACUCCUGGCCCUGCUCCCUGUGUGACCGCUCAGAUGACGAGAAUGGAACCCAGAGAAGCUAGAACCAUGCCUGGAUGAUACAAUCAGCCAGGAUUACCGAGACUGUCGCUGAAGUUGUACAAUGAUACUCCAAAAAGUCCAUGGAAAAAUGAAAUUAAAACGUUAAGUAUUUUUCUGGUCUGAAAAUUUCUGAGGGGUGGGCGUUGUGGUACCAUAGGUUCAGUGGCCACUUGAGACACCUACAUUCUAAGUUGAGAUACCUGGGAUCAAGUCCCGCCUCCAGCCCAGCUUCCUGCAAGUGUGUCUGGGAGGUAGCACAUGGCUUGGGUCCCUGCCAUCUUUGGGAGACCCAGAUGGAGUUCCUGGCUUGUGGCUUCAUGCUGGCCCAGCUCUGGCUGUAGCAGGCAUUUGGGGAGUAAACUUCCCAGAUGGAAGAUCUCUCUCUCUUCCCCCUCUUUCUCUGCCUUUCCAAUAAGUUAAUAAAUAAUUUUUAAAAAUUUUGAAACCUAUACA